rnacentral:rRNA from 1 species
UACGAAGGGGGCUAGCGUUGCUCGGAAUGACUGGGCGUAAAGGGCGCGUAGGCGGCUUGGCAAGUCAGGCGUGAAAUUCCUGGGCUCAACCUGGGGGCUGCGCUUGAGACUGCUGGGCUUGAGGAUGGAAGAGGCUCGUGGAAUUCCCAGUGUAGAGGUGAAAUUCGUAGAUAUUGGGAAGAACACCGGUGGCGAAGGCGGCGAGCUGGUCCAUUACUGACGCUGAAGGCG